rnacentral:rRNA from 1 species
GAGUUUGAUCGUGGCUCAGAUUGAACGCUGGCGGCAGGCCUAACACAUGCAAGUCGAGCGGAUGACGGGAGCUUGCUCCUUGAUCCAGCGGCGGACGGGUGAGUAAUGCCUAGGAAUCUGCCUGGUAGUGGGGGACAACGUUUCGAAAGGAACGCUAAUACCGCAUACGUCCUACGGGAGAAAGCAGGGGACCUUCGGGCCUUGCGCUAUCAGAUGAGCCUAGGUCGGAUUAGCUAGUUGGUGGGGUAAUGGCUCACCAAGGCGACGAUCCGUAACUGGUCUGAGAGGAUGAUCAGUCACACUGGAACUGAGACACGGUCCAGACUCCUACGGGAGGCAGCAGUGGGGGAUAUUGGACAAUGGGCGAAAGCCUGAUCCAGCCAUGCCGCGUGUGUGAAGAAGGUCUUCGGAUUGUAAAGCACUUUAAGUUGGGAGGAAGGGCAGUAAGUUAAUACCUUGCUGUUUUGACGUUACCGACAGAAUAAGCACCGGCUAACUCUGUGCCAGCAGCCG